GAGCAUAAUAAUCCAUUGGAUAAUCUACUUGUGUCUCUUCCUUCACUUCCUCACCACUCUUAUCACAAGCACCACAAGACUCAUUCUUUGAACACUUCAUUACUUCAUCACGACAUAUAUCUGAAUUCUUUGAUGUCGUCCUCUCCCACCAUCCAGACAAAUCACCCAAUGCAAUCUCCGCCUCAAAUGGUGUUAGCAAAGGCUUUUUAAAUGCAUCUCCCCAAUCAAUUGACAACCUCGGACAAGCAAUCUGAAUCCAGGCAUCCACUGCAUCCUCAAACAAUGCAAUCCUCGUGGGAGAUAUCUCCGACAUCAACACAACUGUCCAAGUCAUCCCCUUUUCGGACAUUUUCUUCUCUAACCUAUCCAAUAUCCUUGGAUUCCCUUGCCUACCUAAUGUCCCAAGCACUAUCCCCCAAUUCUUCGCCCCCCUGGCUUUUUCAAUCGCUCUCUUCCUCUCCUCCUUCAUUCCCUUAUGAUCAUACUCCUCCACAAACAACUUCCCUAUAAACGGAUCAUAUCUGUAAGUCUUUAUCCCCGGAUUCGCUAUCAUAAACGCCUCCAAAUGAAACCUACCGUCAGCCACAAAUAUCAAAACUACAUUCUCUCCAUCAGAAAAUCUGUUCUUAACACUCGGGGCAGUACAGCCGAGUACCUCCCCAGCUGAUAACGGUUUAGCUUGAGGAAUCAAAAUACUAAACCCCAAUUUUUCAAGUUCGGGCUUAACCGCCCGAAUUGCAGAAGCAAAUUGAAUUGUCCCAGCCAUAAUGAUAUUGUCAUACGUAUCGGAAUUAUAAAAAUUGAGUUUGAGUUCAUUCAACAACCUGUGAACAUCGAUUGAGAUUUCGACGAAUAUAUAAAGGCAUGGGAUAGUGGUGGAAUCAAUAGGCACGAGGCAGCUAUGGCCGAAAUGAAUGAGGAGAUCAGCGGAAAGCGCUCCCGCCGAGAGGUCGUCAACGCAACACGCGCCGAAAGUCACGUCGCCGAGGAUGAAACAGUGAGUGGCGGAAGUGAAUGUGGAGAGUAUAUCGGAGAUGAUGAGUGAGUACAUGAGGAGACCCUCAGGGAACUGCAGGGCCACACGCUUGGCACUUGAAGUUCGCACUCGCCAUACACACUUGUGGAUUUCGAAGUUGUAGUUUUGAGGUAAAAGUGAUAUGGCGGCGUUGAGUGCUGCAUCGUUUAGGAUGGAGUCUGGUAUUUGGUUCUUCACGAACCUCUUCGGACGCGGCCGGGUUGACUGCUGCAGUGACUGCUGAUCUCCAGCGUCAACUGCGGUCGUCGCUGACGCCGCCGCCGCCGGAGUAGGGUUCAGUGGGAGAAGGCCGCCGUGUUCUUUCUCCAUAGUUUGUAAACUGGCGGUGUAGAUGUAAUGGAG
rnacentral:misc_RNA from 1 species